ACGACCUGUAUUAACACCAAGGGUCAUGAAUCUAUGCAAACAGCGAAAAAAUCAAUAUCCUAUGUCUCCUCUCUUACAAUGAAGCUUUUGCUAGUACCAAGUCGCUACUAGCUAUGUCAUGCACAGCCCAAAAGCUCUUCAUUUUGUAGUAAUCACAACACAUAUAUACCCCUAUUACUUGCAGCUAUCAAAACAUCCAUAGGAGAGAUUUUUGCAACUUUGAAAGCUCAUUACUGAGGCAGCUUAUAGUUACCUUCACACAGGAGAGAAUUAUAUUUCAACAAUUAUUCUUUCUCCAUAUUCAAGAUUUUCCAUUUUAUUUCAUAAUCACAUACUUUCUGCUAAAACAAUUCUAAUGAAAAGCUAUAUUUUACCCAUUCCACAUGGGUGGAGGCUAGACACACAUUCAAGAUUUCUGUUGUCAAAACUGGACCGAUAGUCAAUAGUUAACCCUCUUUUUCAAAGGAACCAUCUUAAUCCGCUGAACCGGCUUAGUAAUUGGUGAAUCAAUCAACCUUGUCCUGGUCCAAUGAGUUAAGAGGUUUGUGAACCCAUGUCAGUUGGCCACUCAACUUUAACAUAAAUUAGCCCCUGACCUAUUUGAAAAUUGUCUAUUACAAUCCUUACCUUUUAUUUUGACCUAUUGCAUCCCUGAUUUUUUUUAUUUUUUAAUUAUUACACUUAAAUUUUUAUUUUUAUAACUAAUCACAAUGCUACAUUUAAUUAUAAAUAAUUGAAUAAA
rnacentral:misc_RNA from 1 species